GAUGAACGCUAGCGGCAGGCUUAACACAUGCAAGUCGAACGGCAGCACAGGUAGCAAUACUGGGUGGCGAGUGGCGCACGGGUGCGUAACACAUAUGUAACUUGCCCCUAACUGGAGAAUAGCCCGGAGAAGUUCGGAUUAAUGUUCCAUAAUAUAACGGACUGGCAUCACUUUGUUAUUAAAGUAUUACGGUUAGGGAUAUACAUGCGUUCGAUUAGCUAGUUGGCGGGGUAACGGCCCACCAAGGCUACGAUCGAUAGGGGACCUGAGAGGGGUAUCCCCCACACUGGUACUGAGACACGGACCAGACUCCUACGGGAGGCAGCAGUGAGGAAUAUUGGACAAUGGCCGCAAGGCUGAUCCAGCCAUGCCGCGUGCAGGAUGACGGCCCUAUGGGUUGUAAACUGCUUUUCUACGGGAAUAAACCUCCUUACGUGUAAGGAGCUGAAGGUACCGUAGGAAUAAGCACCGGCUAACUCCGUGCCAGCCGCCGCCGUAA
rnacentral:rRNA from 1 species